ACGCUCGACACCUACGGAGGCAGCAGUGGGGAAUAUUGCACAAUGGGGGAAACCCUGAUGCAGCGACGCCGCGUGAGCGAAGAAGUAUUUCGGUAUGUAAAGCUCUAUCAGCAGGGAAGAAACUGACGGUACCUGACUAAGAAGCACCGGCUAAACACGUGCCAACAGCCGCGGUAAUCUGAGCGGGCUGGCAAGGC
rnacentral:rRNA from 1 species